AAUCCUCUAUUCUGCACCAAUUUAAUAGGGGAUUAGUUUACACGGUUAAAACCUCGGUCUUUGAAAUCGAAGAAGAU
rnacentral:tRNA from 1 species